CGCAGUUAACAGUAACAAAAAUCUCUACAUAUACCAUAUAUCUAUAUUUUUUUAUAACUAUCAGAACCGCACCGCACUUAAACCGUUUGUUCCGUACCGCUCAACCCGAAGUCACCAUUCGAAGCCUAAAUUUAACAUUCAAAAGCCAAAGGGGGCGUAUUCCUCAUAUUGUUUUGUUUAUUAUUAAACUAACAUCAGCAUUAUUACAUUUUUACCAAAUACAUUUUUGUGAUAAUUAAAUUCCAACUAAGUCAUAUAGUACAUUUUUGUGAUAAUUACAUUCCAACUAAGUCAUAUAGUUUUGUUUGUUCUACUAUGACUUAUAAACCGGCGAACCGGCGAACCGUAUAUAUCAAGUGACAACGUCUGUGUGCGAAUAAUUGAUAGAUAAAACACAAGUGAAAAUAAAGUUAUAUUUGACCCGCAUGUCGAUAUUUAAACAUUAAUAAAGCCAAAACAAUAUAAAUUCAAAAGAAACAAUUCGAAGGCAUGAUUAAAUGAGCAGUCCAUUAGUCUUCAACGAUUUUCAUGUCUACAGUCUAGUCCCAUCUCUUUUAUUACACUAUCUUUUUCUUUGUUUGCAUGUACCUACCUACCUUUCCACGUACAAUAAUUUACAUCCAUAAAAACGUUCUAAAAGCUCUAGGUCGCAAAAUAGUAGUAGUAUAGUACGCGGAAACUCAUACGCAACAGGAUCUUCAUUAUACUAUAAAUUUUGUUGGCCACGUACAAAGAACAACAAUAAAACACAAAGACAUGUACAGAUGAAUGAAUCUUUAAAGAGAUAGAUUGAUGAAAUUAUCUUGCCUUCGUCUGCUCUAGAAAUUACCACUGCCUCAUGUCUCUAUUCAAGAAUUUUCUUUAACUAGAAUUGAUUUAGUUUGUUCCCUACAUUACUGUUGAGAUGCAAGCUAGUUAAUAUCUACCGUGAACAGUAGUAGUCCUUUGCCUGCUACUUUGAUAACAAUAAUACAAAUAUAUUACCUUUCUAUUUAUAUGUAUAUAAUAUAUAUUUACAUAGCCAGUCAUGAGCAUAGCAUGGUGAAAUAUUUUCUGUGCCCUCUAUGUUUUAAAGAAUUGGUAUAAACACGUCCUUAUGCCUUUAAAACUGAUUUUUAAUUAAUAUUUACCUUAAAAUAUAUAUAGUCCCUUAAAUUUUAGGAACCGUAUAUAAUCUAGAGUAAAUUUGUAAGAAAAGAUGUUAAAAUUGCAUGCGUUUUAAAGCUCGAAUUCCUAUCAUGAAUCAUGUGUUAAUUACAGAAUAUGGAAUGCGUUGCGAUACUUGGGUAAAUCUGUAGUAAAAUAGUAUCUAAUUAUAUAAAAAAAUGUUGGAGUCUCUCCUGCUGAGGACACGUCAUCAAAUAAGUAAACCACAGCUUGCCACGUGUCCUCCUCACACUACAAAAACUCGAUCUUCGUUUGGGUUGCGGAAGGGCUUUUACACAAGUGAGCUAUCUUAGUAUUGGGCCGGAAAAUCAUCAGACACUUAAGCCCGUUAGACGCCUUCGCUUUGUCGACGUGAAGCCGACUUUAGUUUCUAAGUUUCAUUGUCGUCUCAGAAAGCUGAUUAGGUAUAACAUCAAUGGAGAUUCUCAAAGUUUCAGAGAGAUGAGUCUUCUUCAUUAAUCGUUGCGUCUAUGUUGGUUCGUGUUGUAUCGUAUCGUUCUCGAUUCAUCUCUUUACUGGCGUUACAAGUUCCAUUGAUUCAGCGUCAUUAAUGAGAUCUUAACUCUUCUGAGCCACUGCAACCACGAUCAUUCAAUUAAUGAUUAUUAUCCCUUUCCAAGCGGUGGGUCUCUACCUAUAAAAAGAUAUCAUCCUCACAACUCCAACAGCAUUUGAAGAUGACCAGCAUGGUCUAGAGAUUGGCUUCUCCUCUUUCUGUCCCUCAACAGGUUAUAUUAGUCAGUGGAAAAUUCUGAGUCCAUGUAAUUAAGCUACCGCAAACUACAAUGUUGAAGCUCGCAUAUUGAAUUGUUUGGAAGAGCCUCUUCUAUUCACUUGGUGAUCAUCUUUAAGGAUGUUUUAGCUUCUUUAGUUCUCUGUUUUAGUACUGCAGAUUUCUAGGCUUCUUGUGAUUACUGACAUUGUUUCUUUUUGGUCCAGACACAAUCAAAUCAUCAUUCUACGAGGUCAAGAAGCUGCUCAACUCUAAACAUCUCUUCUUUAAGGAGAGGAGAUGUAUGCUUAUCACAACCGCUGCAGCCAUCUCGACAACUGCAUCAGGUUACGAGUCAGCAUCGUCUGGAGCAGCAUCACUGUUUUACGUGGCGGAGUCAGGAAACUGGAGAGAAUCGCAGGGAGUGAGGAAGAGGAAGAGUCGGAAAUGGCGGAGGGUUCAGAGUCUGAGACAGAGGAGACGAGCAAGAAGCAGAUGAGAGUGGAAGGAGUAUCGGCGGAGGUGAAGAAGAUGAGAGAGGAAGCAAGUGUAGGAUGAUCCGGUGAAGAUCAUGUGUGAGAAUAAGGAGUUGAUGAGGAGGAAGGCAUUGGAGCUGAAGGAGAGGAAAAUUGGGUACGAGUGGAGGCGGUGGAGAUGGAGAAGCAGAGAGUGAGGUGGAUGAGAUAGAGUAGCAAGAAAGAGAAAGCAAAUGGAUAAGGUUAACCGUUAAGCUAGAGAACUUGCGAGGAAGGCUUGAAAUGGAAAGGAUGGUUCUGAUUAUGAGGUGAAGAGAUAUUGAGUUGGCGGAGUUAAAGUCGUUGUGUAAACAUGUUGCAACCGAUUACUAUCGAUAUAAUCAGCAAAGUCAAAACGUAUUUGCAUGAUUGAUUCGAACAGAUUAAGCAUAUUUAUAAUUAUAUUUUCCUGAGUUUGGUGCAGAAUAUUUCAAACAAAAAAUUAGUUAAAAUAUGUAAUAUAACCUAAUAAUUAGUUAAAAUUUAAAAAUAUUAAGAAAAAUUGAGUUUUUAAAAUUAAAUAGAAACGGAGCUACCGUCUAAUAAAUAGAUUGUAGUACUGCAUUAUGAGGAGACGAGCAAGAAGCAUGCUACUCUCCAUUUUAGAUCAAUUAAUAUAAUUAAGUUUUUUGAAUCAAAAAAAUCAAACAAAGAGUAAUUGAAAUUUUAUGAAAACCCACAAAGAUAAAAGAGUUUAUAGUUAAAGCUAAAUGUUUUAAAAUCUACAUAAAUAAAUUAUUAACACAUAAUAUAAUGAAAAUGUAGUGAAAUACAUAACAUAGCCAAAAAUACUUAAUAUAACAAAAUAUAUACAUAAAAAUAAGCUAAAAAUAAAAAUAAUUUACAGAUUAAAAAAUAAAAAAAUUAAUCCAACAACUUAUUGCUUAUUUUACAUUUCAUUAAAUUAAAGUCACCAAAAAUUUUAAAAGAGUGAAUUUAACUAUUUUCGAUCAUUUAGCUCAAGCUGAAGAAACUAUAGGAAAACCACAAAAAGUACAUAAUCAGAAUAUAUAUUUCAAGAAAUAAUUUUGAAAUACUCUCCAUUUCAGAUCAAUUAAUAUAAUUUAGUUUCUUUAAUCAAAAAAUCAAACAAAGAGUAGUUGAAAUUUUAUGAAAACCAACAAAGAUAAAAGAGCUUAUAGUUAAAGAUAAAUGUUUUUAAUUUCUACAUAAAUAAAUUAUUAACACCUAAAAUAAUUAAAUUUAGUGAAAUACAUAACAUAACCAAAAAGACUUAAUAUAACAAAAUAUAUACAUAAAAAUAACCUAAAAAUAAAAAACAAAUUUGCAGACAAAAAAAUAAUAAUAAGAAAUUUAAUCCAACAACUUAUUGCUUAUUUUACAUUUAAAAAGUCACCAAAAUUUUUAAAAGAGUGAAUUUAACUAUUUUCGAUCACUAAACUCAAGCUGAAGAAACUAUAAAAUAUUGAGAGAAAUCCGCGAAAUUACAUAAUCAUAAUAUAUAUUUCAAGAAAUAGUCUUGAAAUACUCUCCAUUUUAGAUCAAUUAAUAUAAUUUAGUUUUUUUAAUCAAAAAAUCAAACAAAGAGUAAUUGAAAUUUUAUGAAAACCCACAAAGAUAAAAGAGUUUAUAGUUAAAGCUAAAUGUUUUCAAAAUCUACAUAAAUAAAUUAUUAACACAUAAAAUAAUUAAAAUUUAGUGAAAUACAUAACAUAGCCAAAAAUACUUAAUAUAACAAAACAUAUACAUAGAAAUAAGCUAAAUAAAAAAAAUUAA